AAUUUUGGACAAUGGGGGAAACCCUGAUCCAGCCAUCGCGCGUGUAUGAUGACGGCCUUAGGGUUGUAACGUACUUUUGGCAGAGAAGCAAAGGGAUCCUCUAAUACGGGAUGCUGCUGACGGUAUCUUCAGCAUAAGCACCGUCUACCUACGUGCCAGCAGCCGCGGUAAUACGUAGGGUGCAAGCGUUAAUCGGAAUUACUGGGCGUAAUGCGUGUGUAGGCGGUUCGGAAAGAAAGAUGUGAAAUCCCAGGGCUCAACCUUGGAACUGCAUUUUUAACUGCCGAGCUAGAGUAUGUCAGAGGGGGGUAGAAUUCCACGUGUAGCAGUGAAAUGCGUAGAUAUGUGGAGGAAUACCGAUGGCGAAGGCAGCCCCCUGGGAUAAUACUGACGCUCAGACACGAAAGCGUGGGGAGCAGACAGG
rnacentral:rRNA from 1 species